UGGUAUGUACUGGUGUUAUUGGUUUCUCCUUUCUGAGGAGCCAUGAUGUCAUUAAUUUGGUGUCGUGGGGAAUCAGGACUGUUACUUUGAAAAAAUUAGAGUGUUUAAAGCAGGCACGCGCUUGAAUACAUUAGCAUGGAAUAAUGAAAUAGGACGUUCGAUUCUAUUUUGUUGGUUUCUAGGAUCAACGUAAUGAUUAAUAGGGAUAGUUGGGGGCAUUAGUAUUCAAUUGUCAGAGGUGAAAUUCUUGGAUUUAUUGAAGACUAACUACUGCGAAAGCAUUUGCCAAGGAUGUUUUCAUUAAUCAAGAACGAAAGUUAGGGGAUCGAAGACGAUCAGAUACCGUCGUAGUCUUAACCAUAAACUAUGCCGACUAGGGAUCGGAUGAUGUUAAUUUUUUAAUGACUCAUUCGGCGCCUUACG
rnacentral:rRNA from 1 species